AUACUAACCUGGCGUGGGGGUCUACCGUGAUCAGGAAGGCGGUUCCCCCUGGGCGAAACCUUGCCGUUUAUGCGGUCGGGUUGACCCCUGCGUGUGUCCCAAAUGUGGAUAUCUCGCGCGCGAAAUUUUUGGUAGUCGGGACUGCGUACGCGCUGUCCCGAA
rnacentral:snRNA from 1 species